AUGGCAGCCCAGGACUCCAACGAUGCGAGGAAUUCGGCCGUGUUCAUCUCCGUGCUACAAUAUCAAAGCAAACACAAUCAAAAAUCAUUACCGAUCACCAACAAUCACUAUCGGAUACUGACACGACGCGAGGUUUUUAUUUUUACCUUGGUGGCAUUUCAUCGAGCACUUGGCGGCCGUGAUUCUUGUUGCCGGCUGUGGCCGCCGCUCGCGCCGGAGCAGUCGCUUAGUGCCCCCGGAGGUGCAGCACUAGUCGUCGGCCUAGGACGAGGCGCCGCUUUGGCUUUCUUCAUCUUCUUCUUCUCAGCCGCCUCCGCGAGCGCCGACGGCUUUCGAGCCUGUUUGCCUCCGGUAGGUGCGUCGGGAGGGCGGCAUGCCAUCACCGGAGAGGCGGUGGCCACCUCGGACACCAUUGGAGCGGUUGGAGGAGCUUGGACACGUGGCUGGGUCUUCUUCAUACCCAAACUCUUCUUAUUCGGCAAGGCAGCGCGUGGGUGGUUUUCAGCGGCGAAAGGUCGGCGCCGGUGGGCGGCGGGUGAGGGAAGGGGCCGGGCUAUCAAUUCCGGUCGGUCUGGCGGUGAUCGGUGGCGGCUGCGUCAGCGAGAGACAGUGUUGCGCAGGAGAGAGGCGCCAGUUUUACUCGGCCGCGGGGGGAUGGAGCAAAUUUAG
rnacentral:rRNA from 1 species